rnacentral:rRNA from 1 species
GGAUGAACUGAGGGUAGCGGAGAAAUUCCAAUCGAACCUGGAGAUAGCUGGUUCUCUCCGAAAUAGCUUUAGGGCUAGCCUCAAGUGAUGAUUAUUGGAGGUAGAGCACUGUUUGGACGAGGGGCCCCUCUCGGGUUACCGAAUUCAGACAAACUCCGAAUGCCAAUUAAUUUAACUUGGGAGUCAGAACAUGGGUGAUAAGGUCCGUGUUCGAAAGGGAAACAGCCCAGACCACCAGCUAAGGUCCCAAAAUAUAUGUUAAGUGGAAAAGGAUGUGGCGUUGCCCAGACAACUAGGAUGUUGGCUUAGAAGCAGCCAUCAUUUAAAGAGUGCGUAAUAGCUCACUAGUCGAGUGACACUGCGCCGAAAAUGUACCGGGGCUAAACAUAUUACCGAAGCUGUGGAUUGUCCUUUGGACAAUGGUAGGAGAGCGUUCUAAGGGCGUUGAAGCAUGAUCGUAAGGACAUGUGGAGCGCUUAGAAGUGAGAAUGCCGGUGUGAGUAGCGAAAGACGGGUGAGAAUCCCGUCCACCGAUUGACUAAGGUUUCCAGAGGAAGGCUCGUCCGCUCUGGGUUAGUCGGGUCCUAAGCUGAGGCCGACAGGCGUAGGCGAUGGAUAACAGGUUGAUAUUCCUGUACCACCUAUAAUCGUUUUAAUCGAUGGGGGGACGCAGUAGGAUAGGCGAAGCGUGCGAUUGGAUUGCACGUCUAAGCAGUAAGGCUGAGUAUUAGGCAAAUCCGGUACUCAUUAAGGCUGAGCUGUGAUGGGGAGAAGACAUUGUGUCUUCGAGUCGUUGAUUUCACACUGCCGAGAAAAGCCUCUAGAUAGAAAAUAGGUGCCCGUACCGCAAACCGACACAGGUAGUCAAGAUGAGAAUUCUAAGGUGAGCGAGCGAACUCUCGUUAAGGAACUCGGCAAAAUGACCCCGUAACUUCGGGAGAAGGGGUGCUCUUUAGGGUUAACGCCCAGAAGAGCCGCAGUGAAUAGGCCCAAGCGACUGUUUAUCAAAAACACAGGUCUCUGCUAAACCGUAAGGUGAUGUAUAGGGGCUGACGCCUGCCCGGUGCUGGAAGGUUAAGAGGAGUGGUUAGCUUCUGCGAAGCUACGAAUCGAAGCCCCAGUAAACGGCGGCCGUAACUAUAACGGUCCUAAGGUAGCGAAAUUCCUUGUCGGGUAAGUUCCGACCCGCACGAAAGGCGUAACGAUUUGGGCACUGUCUCAACGAGAGACUCGGUGAAAUCAUAGU